AUUGAACGCUGGCGGCAGGCCUAACACAUGCAAGUCGAACGAGUGGCGGACGGGUGAGUAAUGUCUGGGAAACUGCCCGAUGGAGGGGGAUAACUACUGGAAACGGUAGCUAAUACCGCAUACCAUCGGAUGUGCCCAGAUGGGAUUGGCUGGUAGGUGAGGUAACGGCUCACCUAGGCGACGAUCCCUAGCUGGUCUGAGAGGAUGACCAGCCAAAGUGGAACGAAGACACGGUCCAGACUCGUGCGGGAGGCAGCAGUGGGGAAUAUUGAAGAAUGGGCGCAGUCCUGAUGCAGAAACGCCGCGUGUAUAAUGAGGGCCUGCGGGUUGUACAGUAGUUUCAGCGGGGAGGCGUUACCAGCAGAAGAAUCACCGGCUAACUCCGUGCCAGCAGCCGCGGUAAUAC
rnacentral:rRNA from 1 species